AUGGAGACGUGGCACCGGAGCAGUGUGGAUGGCAGGGGAGGAUUGGUGGUUGGACAGCGUGAUCUUGGAGCAGCGCCCUGCUGCUCGGUCCUGCACAGCUCGGCCCUGCUCAGAGCCCACCUUGCUCUCUACCGCCUCGCAUCCUUUGGUGAUGUCGUGGACGCUGCUCACCAUGCUGUGCCCACAGCCUGUGCCAUCCAUGCCUCGCUGCCGGAGCUGCUGCCCUUUGUGGGAGAAGCCACCUGCCCCUCCAGCAUCACCUUCAGUGAGGAUGAGCUGCACCACAAGAUCCUGGCACUGCUGCAGCUGCUGCUGCCCUACUGCGUGCUGGGGCUGAAGCCCUGCCAGCCCCUCGACUGCCAGAGCCAGGAUUUCUUGCACAGGCUCACUCUGUGCGGGCUGUUGGAGGCUGAAGAGGUGGAUGCCCUCCAGUCUUGGUUGGGAAGGGAACAAAGGACUGCGGCACGAGUCCACUGCUCCCCUGGAUCGGGAGAUCUGAGAGCCCAAAGACUCGCCUAG
rnacentral:lncRNA from 1 species